rnacentral:sRNA from 1 species
AUUAUUAUUUGAACUAGAUUUUAACCCGCGAUACACCGGGAACAAUUUGUUUUUUAAAGUUAUUAUAUAUAAAAGUUUACAAAUUGUAUUUAUCUAUAAAAUAUUUUAUUUUAUAGUUUACAAAUGUUAUUAAGUAACGUCCUGCCAAACCCGUCCCGUAAAAAAAACAUUUAU